rnacentral:rRNA from 1 species
AGAGUUUGAUCAUGGCUCAGAACUAACGCUGGCGGCGUGCCUAACACAUGCAAGUCGUACGAGAAAGUUGGCUUCGGCCGAUGAGUAAAGUGGCGCACGGGUGAGUAACGCGUGGAUAAUCUACCCCUCAGUUGGGAAUAACUCAUCGAAAGGUGGGCUAAUACCGAAUAAUACUGCAUGACUUCUGUUGUGUAGUCAAAGAUGGCCUUUGCUUGCAAGCUAUCGCUGAAGGAUGAGUCCGCGUACCAUUAGCUAGUUGGUAGGGUAAUGGCCUACCAAGGCAACGAUGGUUAGCUGGUCUGAGAGGAUGAUCAGCCACACUGGAACUGAGACACGGUCCAGACUCCUACGGGAGGCAGCAGUGAGGAAUAUUGCGCAAUGGGGGCAACCCUGACGCAGCAACGCCGCGUGAGUGAGGAAGGUUUUCGGACCGUAAAGCUCUGUCGAGCGGGAAGAAAUGCAUAGUGGCUAAUAUCCAUUAUGCUUGACGGUACCGCUAAAGGAAGCACCGGCUAACUCCGUGCCAGCAGCCGCGGUAAUACGGGGGGUGCUAGCGUUGUUCGGAAUCAUUGGGCGUAAAGAGCGUGUAGGCGGCUGGAUAAGUCAGAUGUGAAAGCCCUGGGCUUAACCCAGGAAGUGCAUUUGAAACUGUUCAGCUUGAGUAAGGGAGAGGAAAGUGGAAUUCCUGGUGUAGAGGUGAAAUUCGUAGAUAUCAGGAGGAACACCGGUGGCGAAGGCGACUUUCUGGCCCUAUACUGACGCUGAGACGCGAGAGCGUGGCUAGCAAACAGGAUUAGAUACCCUGGUAGUCCACGCUGUAAACGAUGUUCACUAGGUGUUGGGGGUAUUGACCCUCUCAGUGCCGCAGCUAACGCAUUAAGUGAACCGCCUGGAGAGUACGGUCGCAAGAUUAAAACUCAAAGGAAUUGACGG